rnacentral:lncRNA from 1 species
UGCACUGCAAACAUUUUAUGUAAUAGAAUAGGAUAUCACAAUGUGUGUAGGUUAAAGUGGGCUUAGUUCAUGAAACUCCAGGAGGUGGUUGGGGACACCUGGUGAGUUGUGAAACCAGCUGGGGACAUGCUGGCCCAGACCCCCAGGUGUUCUUGAAGAAGCAUUUGGCUUCAGGAAAGAGAAGGUAGUUGCUGUUAAUCCUGAGAGAGCCUUAAAAGAUAAUCGUGGCUUCACAACAAAGAAGAAAUGAACAAAUUUGCCUCUUGUCUACCCCUUUCAGAAUCACCAUGAGAACAGCUGGGACUCAUUGACCAAUGGCAGCUGGAUGACCCGCAGUCGCCAUCCACUGAAUCCUUCCAGAAACACCUGCACGUGGAGGGAGGUAUUGCUGUCUCCCCAUUUUGCAGGCUGGCCUAAUGGGAAGGUUGACCUGAUUUCCACUCUCCUACCGAAAAGUGACAAUGCAGCUGCCGGGCCAAGGAGGGACGUUGUGUGACCAGUUCAGAGGCAGGAGUUCACGCGGCUGCAGUGACCCUCUGCAAAAGGAAGCAACUGGACAUUUCCUCUACACAUUGUCUCUUUUGAAAAGUUCCAAGCAGAUGCUCGCCCACCCACCAAGGCUGAGGCCGAAGAAAAUUCUGCGAUGACAAGGCUCUGCAGGUGCCGUACAGAGCGAGUACUUUUCAGGCAGCUGGCGGAGCCCAGAGCAAGCUUCCCCCGGAGCAUCCAAAGGGGCCACUUGGCUGCGGUCGCCAUUGUGAGAACAACAGGAAACUGAGCAGGGGCUGCGCUCGUCCUGGGCAGGACAACUCUCCAUUUCCCUUCAGGCCUGGCAUUGUUUUGCUGAUGGAAGAAAAGUGGAAUGGGGCGUGAUCACACUGCCGGCUCAGCAGCUGGAAAGCUCGUGUUGGCUUAAAUGUGCACAAGGUGAGGUCCCUCUCUGCCACUGAUCCCCACCUCCUCUCACCACAGGGUGUUUUCUGAUCACCAAAUGUAUGUUGGUUAGAAGACUUGGCAGUUCUCUGACCCCAGAGGUAGAGCUAGAAGUUGACACAGAGUCCCAAGUGGCAACUCCGUCUAUGCUGUCUGUUGGUGAUGAUGGGCCGGGCGUCCCAGGAGGAAGAGGACUUCCCAAGAUCCCUUUCUGAGACGGGAUGGUGCAGAAGAGACACUGGCUAGGAGAAGGAGGGUUGCGGGGGCUCCAGGGCUCCUCUGCUCCUGAGUGUCAGUGGAGGGUGGGCAUUGACCAGACCUAAGAGUCUUUGAAGCAAGGUCAUGGGCAACCAUGACUGCAUUCCAAGAGGCCCAAAAGAUGGAAGGCCCAGGAGACCCCCAAGAAUGAAUGUGUGAUGAGCAGCCAGGCCCUGAUCACCCAAGUCCCGGCUUUCAGAGGGGAGGGGUGGGGCGCAUAAUAUUUAUCAGAAUUGUCAUUAGAUUAGAGCACUAGUUUUGCAAGCUCCAUAAGGUUAACAAUCUCUGGGGAGCUUUCUAUAAAAUACUACUUCCCCCUCCCAACUCCAAGGUUCUGAACCAGUCAGUCUGGAACUGCAUUUUAACAAUAUCCUGU